CACUUAUCAAAUGAGAAAAAGAAAAACAUAAUUUUGUUUGUAAAUAUCGAAAUAGAAAAGAAAGCGAGUCAUUAGGACUCAAGGGCUAUGAAAUUUUUUGGUACAAAAGUCUAAAUACGAUUACGUUUGUAUAGCCAAUCAACCUACAUAAAAAUCAAUAUAUUUAUCAAAUUCAAAAUUAUGCAAAUCUUUUUUCCUUAAAAAACCCUUAAAAAUACGAUGUUCACAGUACGAAGUACAGGCUAGAAUUAACUAUAUAAAACAGUCACUUUACAACCUAAUUUUUUGGCGCCAAAAAUUCCUACGCCUAC
rnacentral:lncRNA from 1 species